CCACCCUGAGUUUAUUUUUUUAAUUUCAUCUGUCCAGGGAGUGAAAACAACUUGCAUCUUCGAAAAAAGUUAAAUUUCGUCAAUAUUUCGUCGUAUAAGGCCAAUUACUUGUUUAGCGUCCCCGCCCGACCUGAUAAAAGUCCCCGACCUCCAAUUUUUUUUUUUUUUUAAAUCCGUCCGAGUUUAGUGCAAAAACUCUCUAUAAAAAAGACCGUUUUAC